rnacentral:lncRNA from 1 species
CAGCCCCUGGGCUUCCACUGAAACUAAUACUGGAUCCAACUUUUAACACUGAUAAUAUGUUGCCACCAAAUUGAAAACGUAAACAAGAUAUUCUAAGUGUGAUUAGAGUAUAUGCAACACAAGGAAGAAGCAGAACAUUCUUUUCCGGAAUCUGACAACGUGGCCGCAGUGUUUUUACUGGGAACAUUGAUUUCAGAUGUAUGUGAAAUACAAUAAACCGAAAACUAGAGACAGAUGAGACAGAGAGAGGUUAAUUAGAAAAAGAUUAUGGUAUCUAAGCAAAAUCUAGCCUCCUAGGCCCACCUUAAUCCCUCUUAAAUCCCCCAUCCCAACUCUGUUAACUAGUUAUCGUUCUCUUCUGAAGAGAUCGCACCUUCCUUGUGGUUCUCAGGGAUCCUCCCCAGCUCUUACUCUACUCCCCAUCCCGCGCACUGGGAUAGCCCCAUGCCCAUGUCCUUCCCCGCAGGCAGUGUUUCCAGCGAGGUGGUCCCACUGAACUUCUAGGGAUUUGGGGCAGAAAGCGAAUAUCCCAGAGUCCCAGAGCCCACGGGAGUUACUCUGGAGGGCCAGCCACAGAGGCGCACCAGUGGGUAACCAGCCACCUCCCACCACCCACCACCCGGAGGCUGGGCCAGCCCCUUUUUUCCGGACUCGGGAUCGACCUGGAGCUCCGAGAAUUUUCCUGGCCCAGUCAAGCAUGAAAAGGGUUCGCCGAUCUCGAGAAGCCAGAGAACCAGGGCUGCAGGCACCUCCCCGCCUGCUCUCCCGCUCCUGGCACAACCGUCUGACCAGCCUGCCGAGCCCCACCGCCCGCGCCGCGCCCCCGGCCGCCCCCGGCGCUCCCCGGCUCCUGCGGGCAGCGCUGCUGCUCCUGCUCCUGGUCGCCGCCGGCCAGCGUGCCGCAGGAGAAUCCGUGGUCAAUGAACUGAGCUGCCAAUGCUUGCAGAUCCUGCAGAGAAUUCACCGCCAAGAACACGUGAAAUGUGAACAAGUCCCCAGGAUCCCACUGCGCCCAAACCGAAGGUUUUGGGGUACAUGUGAAGAAUAUGCAAGAUAGUUGCACAGGAUAAUGUUUAUCUCACUCCCUAACGGGCUUCAGACCUGAAAACUGAAUCUCCCUGAUUUGAGGCACAGUGGAACUCUUAAGUCUUCAUGGUGAAGAGUAGAGACUUUGCAGUAAGACCCUCACGAGUUGUUCGAGGCUCUAUGUCUUAGUAUCCUGAGUCUUAACAAACUGUGAAAACAAUAAAAACUACUUCAAAAGGUUUGCUAUAAACCUUAUGUGAGGUCAUGCAUGUAGAUUUUUAACCCAUUUAUAACCUUUGUUUCACUUUUUGAAGCAAAUAAUACAGUUGUAAUCACAGAUCCUCUAUUUCUAGUUAAAUAGUAUCCAGAAGCCUGGGGUUUUAUUUUGCUACACAGAACAACUCUCAUACCGGUAAUAACCACUUAGUGAGGGGCUAGAAGGAACGACCACGUUUGAAAAACCAUAGAAGGUAAGGAUCUAAGGCAGGAACAGGUGUCUGCAUGGUCAGUUUCUUGAGUAGCUACUGACAGCUAUCAUUUUUUCACCACAGGGGCAACACCAACUGACCUAGAGGGAAGGAGGAAGCAUAUCAGCUGCAAUUCCUAAAGGAGGUCUAUUCUUAGAGGAAUCAAAAUGAAAGAGAAAAAAAUUAGUUCCUGGGCACACCUGGACUUUGUUUAAUGUGUUUAACUGUUUCUUAUGAAGGUAGUUCUAAUUAUGUAUGUAUGUAUUUUUCAAAGCCUGUAUGUUAAGGUUCUUUCUGAUAUUGAAAGAUAUGGAUAUGUUUGUUAAUUCACUGUAAUGUUAUUCUGAAAGUUAUUUUUUGUGUUAAAUCAAAGUUUAGUCCUUACUGUCAUCUAACUUGAAGAUGAUGGAUUUUACAUGUUCUCUAUUCGUUAAGUGGUGAUGGAGAGUUCACAUCAUGUCAGACAUUGUGAUAGUGGCUGAAAAUAAAUAGUGGGGAUCCAAGCUGAUAGAUCCCUGUUAAGAUAAAGGCAUGUAUGUCCCAUCUCUUGUAACUGUUUAGAAGAAUGUCAGUUGUUAUUUAUCAAAACUUCCAACAUAUCUGAUAUUGAAGCUUUAAAAACUACAAUGUCCUAAUUAUCCUUUGGAUAUUUUAUGUCUUCCUUGUGAGGCAUAAUGCUUUAUUUUGUAUUAAUUAUGCAAUGAUUCUCUAUGAUUUGGAAUAAUAUAGUUUAUUUACUGAUGUAUUUUAACACAAAAAAUACAUGAAAAUAAAACCUUUCCAAAAAAAUCACACCU